rnacentral:rRNA from 1 species
CCUACGGGCGGCAGCAGUGAGGAAUAUUGGUCAAUGGACGAGAGUCUGAACCAGCCAAGUAGCGUGAAGGAUGACUGCCCUAUGGGUUGUAAACUUCUUUUAUAUGGGAAUAAAAUGUUCCACGUGUGGGAUUUUGUAUGUACCAUAUGAAUAAGGAUCGGCUAACUCCGUGCCAGCAGCCGCGGUAAUACGGAGGAUCCGAGCGUUAUCCGGAUUUAUUGGGUUUAAAGGGAGCGUAGGUGGAUUGUUAAGUCAGUUGUGAAAGUUUGCGGCUCAACCGUAAAAUUGCAGUUGAAACUGGCAGUCUUGAGUACAGUAGAGGUGGGCGGAAUUUGUGGUGUAGCGGUGAAAUGCUUAGAUAUCACGAAGAACUCCGAUUGCGAAGGCAGUUCACUGGACUGCAACUGACACUGAGGCUCGAAAGUGUGGGUAUCAAACAGGAUUAGAUACCCCUGUAGUC